rnacentral:piRNA from 1 species
CUGUGUGGUAUGCUCCAGGUUUCCCUG